rnacentral:lncRNA from 1 species
CCGCGCGCGCCUGUCCUUCGGCCGCGUCCUCCUCCCCCUCUCUCUCUCUGCUCGCGGCGACCAGCCACCCUGGGCCGCCCCACCACGGCAGUGGCUGCUGCCGACUCUACCUCUCCUCCUUCCUCCCAGAUCCGUUGCCGCCGCCGCCGCCUGCAGCCACUCCGGCGAGACUCGCCUUCAGCCGCCUCCCAUCUGCCCUCUCCUUCCAUCACGUUUCCGGCAGCGGACGAGCGCUUGCUGCUGCUGCUCCGUUCUCGCAGUGGCUAGCGGCGCUUGGCCUUCGGCCGCGCCGCCCCGUGCGACGGCGUCUCGCAUCGCCUCGGGUCACGCCGCCUCGCCUCCUGCCAGCCAACAGUCGUCCGUCUUGGGCCUCCGCCUCCUCCUCCGCCUGCUUUAGCUACGAGCGGCCGGUGGGCUGCCGCCACCUGCAGCACCGGCAGCUGCGACUUCGUCAACUCAGAGUGAGGCUCCGACAGACCCCCUCCCAGCUCUCACCACUUUCUCGACUCUCACUCUCGUUCCGAAGGUAAGCAAGAAGGAUUCAACUCAGAUUUGAAGAAAAGAAAGAUGGGUUCUUGGAGAAAUCUGAAAUUGUAUAAAUGUUAUGUCCUUAGGUUUUCUUGUUUCCAAAGGUUCUGUACAAAUUCUUCUUUGUUUCUGAAGAUUACGGAAAUGUAGUUGAGAAUAGGAGUAUGAAGUUGAACCAUACACACCACAAUUGUGGUGGCAGGGGUGAAGAAAUGGUGGGUUUUGUUGGUGUUUGUUGUAUUUGGUUUUGUGGAGUAUAAAAUGAGCUUGACAGCAGAAGAUUGUCUUGGAAAAUAAAAGGAUUUGCUCGUAGGAUCAAUUUGUCAAGAUUUGGAAAAAGUAAAAGAUUUGGCACUGCAGAAUUUUUGGGGAGAUGGAAGAUCUGAUACUGCAAAAUCUUUGGGAAAAAGGGAGAAACGUUGCUGCCUUCACCAAAAUUUCAAAUUUUGGAUUAUUGAGGAGCUCACAAAUUUUUUU